rnacentral:misc_RNA from 1 species
AAGUCGUAACAAGGUGUCCGGAGGUGAACCUGCGAACCCUGUGAACCAUUGUGCUCCCACGCUUUGUUAGAAAGUGGCAAUCUGGUAAAUCAUCGCCGAACAGUUUUGAUUCAGGGCUUCUGCGAAGAGGGUGAAUGAGAAGCAAUGGACCUGGCAUUUCUCUGCUUGUUGGUGUCUGAAAGUGUCACUAACUCUGUACGAAUGGCGCACACGUUCGCUGGAGGCCGACACGGCCGGCGACCGCCCUGAGCUCUGCUCCCUAAUAACCUUUGCAUGAAAACGCACCAAACUCGAACAACUGUUAACAAUGGAUAUCUUGGUUCUC